AUUGAACGCUGGCGGCAGGCCUAACACAUGCAAGUCGAAUGGUAACAGGAAACAGCUUGCUGUUUCGCUGACGAGUGGCGGACGGGUGAGUAAUGUCUGGGCAACUGCCUGAUGGAGGGGGAUAACUACUGGAAACGGUAGCUAAUACCGCAUAACGUCGCAAGACCAAAGAGGGGGACCUUCGGGCCUCUUGCCUUCAGCUGUGCCCAGAUGGGAUUAGCUAGUAGGUGGGGUAAAGGCUCACCUAGGCGACGAUCCCUAACUGGUCUGAGAGGAUGACCAGCCACACUGGAACUGAGACACGGUCCAGACUCCUACGGGAGGCAGCAGUGGGGAAUAUUGGACAAUGGGCGCAAGCCUGAUGCAGCCAUGCCGCGUGUAUGAAGAAGGCCUUCGGGUUGUAAAGUACUUUCAGCGGGGAGGAAGGGAGUAAAGUUAAUACCUUGGCUCAUUGACGUUACCCGCAGAAGAAGCACCGGCUAACUCCGUG
rnacentral:rRNA from 1 species